rnacentral:rRNA from 1 species
AUUGAACGCUGGCGGCAUGCCUUACACAUGCAAGUCGAACGGUAACGGGCCUUCGGGUGCCGACGAGUGGCGAACGGGUGAGUAAUGCAUCGGAACGUACCUUUCAGUGGGGGAUAACGUAGCGAAAGUUACGCUAAUACCGCAUAUUCUGUGAGCAGGAAAGCAGGGGAUCGCAAGACCUUGCGCUGAUUGAGCGGCCGAUGUCAGAUUAGCUAGUUGGUGAGGUAAAGGCUCACCAAGGCGACGAUCUGUAGCGGGUCUGAGAGGAUGAUCCGCCACACUGGAACUGAGACACGGUCCAGACUCCUACGGGAGGCAGCAGUGGGGAAUUUUGGACAAUGGGGGCAACCCUGAUCCAGCCAUGCCGCGUGAGUGAAGAAGGCCUUCGGGUUGUAAAGCUCUUUCGGCCGGGAAGAAAUCGUAUGGGUUAAUACCCUGUGCGGAUGACGGUACCGGCAUAAGAAGCACCGGCUAACUACGUGCCAGCAGCCG